rnacentral:rRNA from 1 species
UGGACCCUACGGGACGCAGCAGUGGGGGAUAUUGCACAAUGGGGGAAACCCUGAUGCAGCGACGCCGCGUGAGUGAUGAAGUAUUUCGGUAUGUAAAGCUCUAUCAGCAGGGAAGAAAAUGACGGUACCUGAGUAAGAAGCCCCGGCUAACUACGUGCCAGCAGCCGCGGUAAUACGUAGGGGGCAAGCGUUAUCCGGAUUUACUGGGUGUAAAGGGAGCGUAGGCGGCAAGGUAAGCCAGAAGUGAAAGCCCGUGGCUCAACUGCGGGACUGCUUUUGGAACUAUCUAGCUAGAUUGCAGGAGG